rnacentral:rRNA from 1 species
UGAGAGUUAACCAUUAAAGCUAGGAAACUAUAUUUAAUACUAUACAAAAUAUGUACAUCAUAUUUGAUAUUUUUAGGGUUAACUUGAUUGACUAUGUCUUAUAAAGUUCUAGAUAAAAGCUGAUAAUGACAACUUUGUAUCUAUAGUCUCGACCAAAUCUUGUGCCAGCAGUCGCGGUAAGACAAGGGAGACUAGUGUUAUUCAUCUUUAUUAGGUAUAAAGGGUACCUAGACAGUAUAUCACGCCCAAAUAGGGUACGGAUAAGACUUGAGUUUUAGUGUAAGAGGGAGAUAUCAGAACUAUUGGUGUAGAGAUGAAAUGUUUUGAUACCUUUAGGACGGGUAAUGGCGAAGGCAAACCUUUAUGUGAAAACUGACGUUGAGGGACGAAGGCUUGGGAAGUGAAGAGGAUUAGAUACCCCCGUAGUCCAAGCAGACAAUGAUGAGUGUCAUAGGUUAAAAUAUUUUUAGACUAUAAAUGAAAAUGUAAGCACUCCACCUCAAGAGUAAUGCGGCAACGCAGGAACUGAAAUCAUUAGACCG